rnacentral:tRNA from 1 species
AGAAACUUAGGAUUAAACAAACCAAGAGCCUUCAAAGCCCUAAACAUGAGUCCCAACCCUCAUAGUUUCUG